GACGAACGCUGGCGGCGUGCCUAAUACAUGCAAGUCGAACGCAGUGGGGACGGGUGAGUAACACGUGGGUAACCUCCCAUCAGAAGGGAUACCACUUGGAAACAGGUGCUAAACCGAUAUUGGUGGAUGGACCCGCGGUGCAUUAGCGAGUUGGUGGAGUAACGGCGCACCAAGGCCACGAUGCAUAGGCGACCUGAGAGGGUGAUCGGCCACACUGGGACUGAGACACGGCCCAGACUCCUACGGGAGGCAGCAGUAGGGAAUCUUGGGCAAUGGGCGCAAGUCUGACCGAGCAACGCCGCGUGAGUGAAGAAGGUUUUCGGAUCGUAAAACUCUGUUGGUGGAGAAGCGGUAUCUAACCAGAAAGCAACGGCUAACUACGUGCCAGCAGCCGCGGUAAUAC
rnacentral:rRNA from 1 species